AUUGAACGCUGGCGGCAUGCCUUACACAUGCAAGUCGAACAGUAACGCGGGGCAACCUGGCGACGAGUGGCGAACGGGUGAGUAAUGUAUCGGAACGUGCCCAGUUGUGGGGGAUAACUGCUCGAAAGAGCAGCUAAUACCGCAUACGACCUGAGGGUGAAAGCGGGGGAUCGCAAGACCUCGCGCAGUUGGAGCGGCCGAUAUCAGAUUAGGUAGUUGGUGGGGUAAAGGCUCACCAAGCCAACGAUCUGUAGCUGGUCUGAGAGGACGACCAGCCACACUGGGACUGAGACACGGCCCAGACUCCUACGGGAGGCAGCAGUGGGGAAUUUUGGACAAUGGGCGCAAGCCUGAUCCAGCCAUGCCGCGUGCGGGAAGAAGGCCUUCGGGUUGUAAACCGCUUUUGUCAGGGAAGAAAAGACUCCUGUUAAUACCGGGGGUUCAUGACGGUACCUGAAGAAUAAGCACCGGCUAACUACGUGCCAGCCGCCGCAGUAA
rnacentral:rRNA from 1 species